rnacentral:rRNA from 1 species
UAUGCAGGCGGAUCUUUAAGUCAGGGGUGAAAUCCCGAGGCUCAACCUCGGAACUGCCUUUGAUACUGGAGAUCUUGAGUCCGGGAGAGGUUAGUGGAACUGCGAGUGUAGAGGUGAAAUUCGUAGAUAUUCGCAAGAACACCAGUGGCGAAAGCGGCUAACUGGCCCGGUACUGACGCUGAGAUACGAAAGCGUGGGGAGCAAACA